rnacentral:rRNA from 1 species
AUGCGACCGCCGCCCGCGGUGAUGACGGCCUCCUCGUCGGAGAAGAAGGCGGCGAAGCGGAGCGGACCACCGAGGCCCCGAGGGAGGAAGUCGCAGCUCGCCCUCCUCGGGGGGGUGCUCACCUGGAAAUGCAUUUGCUCCACAUAUACUGCUUAUCAAUCGGGGAGAGUGAAGUGCAGUCUGUACGGGAUCUUCCGUUCAUCGUGUUUUAUGCACUGGGAUAUUACCUCCAAGAUUAUGCUGUUAUCAGAGCUGCACUCCAAAUCCAUCUGCAUUCUAUCAGCCAAUGGCCCAUUAUCAGCUAUAACUCUCCGUCUAUCUUCACAUUCAGGUGGCCUUGACAAUGCAGUUUACCAGGGUCAGUUUGAGAUAAUUUCACUAAAAGGCUCUUAUCUGCUGUCUGAUGAGGGUGGCUCAGGAAACAGCAGUGGGGGUUUAAGCAUUAUGGUUUCUACUCCUUGCGGCAGCUUGUUUGGAGGUAGCGUUGGAGGGCCGCUGAUCGCUGCUGACCCUGUGCAGGUAAUUGCUGGAAGCUUCAAUUACACGGUGACAGAGGAAAAGAAGGAGCCAAAGACCAGUGACAGCCAACUUAAUGAGCUGAAAGUACCUUGGGAGCUGGAUGCAAUGCCUUAUGAACCAUUUUCACCUUUGCCUCUGUUUGGGUGGUCCAGGAUUGAAGAUGUCAAACUUGAUCGCCACGACUUCGACCUGACCAAUGGUUAG